rnacentral:lncRNA from 1 species
GGGAGGAGCUUCUCUGAAUCUAUUCCAAAACCAGUCUCUUCUUUCAGCAUGUACAUACAUCUCAGCUUUUGCAUCGUUCACAUAACCACCUGUUUGGGAAUUCAUCCCAAUCACUUUCUUUAUUGUAGAUAAGGUGUAUAUCAACUUAUCUGUUCUGGUGGCUUUGAAUGAGUCAUUAAUUUUUGCAGCAGAAAACCUAUCUUUUCAACUUACAUGGUCCAGCAAUAAUCCAUGAACUAAAAUUUAUUUUAAGGCUAGUUUCUACUGAUUGAAGAUACUGUUUGGCUAUAUAUCACACUGAACACCAUUUUUUAAUAUUACUGAGGUGUUAUAGUCAUAUAGUCAUGAAAGUAAGAUAUUUAAAGAGAAGUUGAUUCUUUAUUUCUCAGAGAAAUGUUCCCUUGACCUCCACAUGUCCUUGGGUUUCUUUUAGUUUCUUCUCCAGGCUGUGCCAUAUCCCAGUACUUCAAUCUAACAGUGACUUCAUAAUGACAUCAAGAGCAGGCUUCACAGGUCAUAACGACCUCCGUUCCUGUUGGGCAUCCUGCCACUUGGGAGUUAGACUUGGACUUAGCCCACAUUUAAUAGCCCCUCCUAGAUCACACCCUGACUGGACUGGGGAAAAUAUGGACUCCUGCAGUGUUUCUCUGAAUGCUGCUACAGCACAACCAAGGGAUGUGCGUUCAAACACCACUGCAAGACAAGAACUUUAGAGGAACUGCACAGUAUUGCAGAACGGGAAACAGAAGUCCAAAAGGGCAGAAGAAAGGCAAUUCUGAAGCUGCAAAAUCCAGCUAUUACAAUGCAGAAGUUAGGAGGAAACAGUAGAGAAAGGAGUGAGGAAAGCUAGAAGUUUCUCUUCUAAAGCCACUGUGGCUUAAUUGAAAGCAUUAAUAAUUGUAAAAACUUGGAACCUGUGCUGCUGUCAUCAAGUGUCUUUUUGCUACAGGCACAAUGCAAAAAGUGAGAAGAUAAGGCUUUGAGACACAUGCCUGGCAAAGCAAGGGAAAAUGAAACUCCUCCACUAUGCAUUUUAGGACAGGAAAAUUGUAUACCACCAUAAUAAUAAUAAUUAUUGCUAUUUGGAUAG